rnacentral:rRNA from 1 species
AGUGAACGCUGGCGGUAGGCCUAACACAUGCAAGUCGGACGGCAGCACAGUAAGAGCUUGCUCUUACGGGUGGCGAGUGGCGGACGGGUGAGGAAUACAUCGGAAUCUACUUUUUCGUGGGGGAUAACGUAGGGAAACUUACGCUAAUACCGCAUACGACCUACGGGUGAAAGCAGGGGAUCUUCGGACCUUGCGCGAUUGUAUGAGCCGAUGUCGGAUUAGCUAGUUGGCGGGGUAAAGGCCCACCAAGGCGACGAUCCGUAGCUGGUCUGAGAGGAUGAUCAGCCACACUGGAACUGAGACACGGUCCAGACUCCUACGGGAGGCAGCAGUGGGGAAUAUUGGACAAUGGGCGCAAGCCUGAUCCAGCCAUACCGCGUGGGUGAAGAAGGCCUUCGGGUUGUAAAGCCCUUUUGUUGGGAAAGAAAAGCAGCAGGUUAAUACCCCGCUGUUCUGACGGUACCCAAAGAAUAAGCACCGGCUAACUUCGUG